CCUCUGGUAUCUUUCGUCCCUCUUUUAUACUAUACGAGCACGCUGCUUUAGACUCUAUACGUACUUGGUCAGGGAGAAAACAUGUGAACCUACCCAGACACAAUAUUCUUGGAUCGCGUGAAAUGAAACUCACAUGUAGAAUUGUAACUGCUACUCCGGACAACACUUCAAAAAGGGGCAAAUCAGUGCUCUUCCUUUUUAGGGUGUAAUAAGUUAAUAUAUUUAAUUAGGAAAUAUUUUGUUCAUACCAUGCUAUAUGCUCAUGCAUAUUAACAUGUGGAGGCAUUACAUUUUCAUACUUAAAGAAUGAUUUGAUUUAAUUUCAAAUCGAGCAAUACCAAAAAAAUAUCCGUUUGGUUUUCAGCGUUGUUCAAAACACAGCUGACGUUGUAUUUCAGUUUUGACGUGAUAAUUAGUUUCAACAUCACCACAACCACAGUGUGUGGAGUCCACUAAACUGCAAAGGAAUAUGUGGGAAUUCAAUGAACUUGAAUCAGUUCUUAAAAGAGCAUGAAGAGCUUAACGAAGACGAUAUCCUACAUACAUUUUGGGUUCGAAUUUGUUUUUGAAACAUGGUAGAGAACAC
rnacentral:lncRNA from 1 species